rnacentral:sRNA from 1 species
GCUGAGUAAGGUGGCAUGCACCUGUAGUCCUAGCUACUUGGGAGGCUGAACAGGGAGAAUCACUUGAGCCCAGGGGCUUGUGGCCAGUUUUGGGGCAACACAGUGAAACCCUUAUCUC